rnacentral:rRNA from 1 species
UACGUAGGGUGCGAGCGUUAAUCGGAAUUACUGGGCGUAAAGCGUGCGCAGGCGGUUUUGCAAGCCGGAUGUGAAAUCCCCCGGGCUCAACCCUGGGAAUGGCUUUCGGUACGGGCAUGCUGGAGUGCGGCAGGGGAGACUGGAAUUCCGUGGUGUGAGCGGUGGAAUGCGCAGAUAUCAGGAGGAACACCGGUGGCGAAGGCGGGUCUCUGGGCCGUUACUGACGCUGAGGAGCGAAAGCGUGGGGGAGCGAACAGG